rnacentral:pre_miRNA from 1 species
AAAGUACUCCCUCCGUCCCAAAAUUCUUGUCUUAGAUUUGUCUAGAUACGGAUGUAUCAAGUCACAUUUUAGUAUUAGAUACAUCCGUAUCUAGACAAAUCUAAGACAAGAAUUUUGGGACAGAGGGAGUAGUUG